CCUACGGGAGACAGCAGUGAGGAAUAUUGGUCAAUGGGCGGGAGCCUGAACCAGCCAAGUCGCGUGAGGGAAGACGGUCCUAUGGAUUGUAAACCUCUUUAGGCGGGGAGCAAUGCCGGGCACGCGUGCCCGGAGGGAGAGUACCCGCAGAAUAAGCAUCGGCUAACUCCGUGCCAGCAGCCGCGGUAAUACGGACGAUGCUAGCGUUAUCCGGAUUUAUGGGGUUUAAAGGGUGCGUAGGAGGAUUUUUAAGUCAGCGGUAAAAUGUCCGGGCUCAACCCGGGCCGGCCGUUGAAACUGGGGAUCUUGAGUGGGCGAGAAGUAUGCGGAAUGCGUGGUGUAGCGGUGAAAUGCAUAGAUAUCACGCAGAACUCCGAUUGCGAAGGCAGCAUACCGGCGCCCGACUGACGCUGAGGCACGAAAGCGUGGGGAUCGAACAGGAUUAGAUACCCUUGUAGUC
rnacentral:rRNA from 1 species